GUCGCGGGAGAGCCAGCGCAAAGUGGAAGGCACCUUGUACGCUGUGAAGCGGAGAUGCAGAUGUUACCCUAACCAGAAGCCCACCCCGCCACAAAUACUGGAGCGCCCAGCAUGCGUGCGCCACCCGCUUCCCUGCAGAGGGCGCCGCGGGCCCGCCUCGCCGAGCGCGGGGUGAGAUCCCAGUAGCCCAGAGCAGCCCGCGGGGCAGGCCCGGGCUGCCGCGGACUCCUCUUGAAAAGCCUUUGAUGCUGUAUUCUUAGCACAUGGAACCCUAAACCAAAGCCUGCACUGGGGCAUUUGUGAGAAGCGUGUGUGCAAAGCCUGAGAGACUCCCCUUUUGGGCAUGCUGCUGGGCAGGGGUGUUCUGGUUUGACUUUGUACAUUUGGCAGUUUUGGAGUUUGCCCACCAGAUAUGCCAUCCAAGAAGACCAAAAGUACAGCAGGAUGAUUGUGAACAAGACCAGGGACCUCAGCCCUUGCAAAAAAAGGUUGAAGACUAUGUACAUGAACGACAUUCUAGGCUAUCCU
rnacentral:lncRNA from 1 species